UACGGAGGGGGCGAGCGUUAUUCGGAAUUAUUGGGCGUAAAGGGCGCGUAGGCGGCUGUACAAGUCAGAGGUGAAAUCCCUCGGCUCAACUGAGGAACUGCCUUUGAAACUGUACGGCUUGAGGCCGGGAGGGGGUAGCGGAAUUCCCAGUGUAGCGGUGAAAUGCGUAGAUAUUGGGAGGAACACCAGUGGCGAAGGCGGCUACCUGGACCGGUUCUGACGCUGAGGCGCGAAAGCCAGGGGAGCGAACGGG
rnacentral:rRNA from 1 species